rnacentral:rRNA from 1 species
GACGUAGGGGGCCAGCGUUGUUCGGAAUUACUGGGUGUAAAGGGUUCGUAGGCGGUGUAGCAAGUCGGGGGUGAAAUCUCUGGGCUUAACCCAGAGGCUGCUUCCGAAACUGCUGUGCUUGAGUGUGGGAGAGGCGCGUGGAAUUGCAGGUGUAGCGGUGAAAUGCGUAGAUAUUGGGAGGAACACCAGUGGCGAAGGCGGCUCACUGGACUGGUACUGACGCUGAUGCGCGAAAGCGUGGGGAGCAAACAGG